GGUCACGAGGGUGAUCUGGCUGCAACAUCUGUCACCCCACUGAGUGCUAGAGUUGAUUCAGCUGAUCAGGCUGGCUAGACAGUGUCCCCUUCCUCCCUCAACCAUCCAUGUAUGUUUCUCCUGAAGCUGUGCACUCGGUCUAAGAGAAUAACCAGUCUUUGCUCCCCUGCUAGAACCUCCAAAUAAGCUCUCAAAGAGGAUAUAGAGCACUCACUUAUACACAGAAACAUAUCU
rnacentral:snRNA from 1 species